CUGACCUGAGUACUGUCCAGGCCCUGCGCUCCGGGCCUGGUACUGCACUCCUUGGGGAGCUUCAGGGCUGGUGGAGAGGUGCUCUACCCACUCUGCCCUGCGUCUGCUCUCUGCCCAGACACCCCAAAAGUAGCCACAGAGAGAAGAUAAACUUUGGCUUCGGGGGCCCAGCUCCACCACUUCCAGUCUGCGUGGUGUUGCUCAAGUGGCCUGGCUUUGCUGAGCCGCUUCCUCACGUUGUGCGUGGGAUGAUGGAGCCACCCUUCAGAAGCUCCAGGGAUUCACAGGAUGAGGCAUGCAAGAGCCUCGGGUCACUAAGUGCUGGUGCCUGCUCGCAAGGGACAGCUGCCCACCGAGCUCAGGGCCGAGGCCAGGGGAUCCUGCCCAAGCCCUGGGAAACUGUGAUACAUCUCUGACCACAGGGCAGCCCCCCUGCCAGCCCUCCUGGCCUGCAUGGGACUAGGGAAGGAGGGUGAGGCCUAUAUUUAUCUGAAGCACAAGGAGGCUUGUCUGGCAGUCAGAUGCAAAUGCCUUCAUCCCGUCUGGGCUGAGAGCCGCUCACAGUGGACAAGUCUUUCCCGCCUGUUCCACACCAGCCUGGUUCCAGUGACAGGAGUGGGGAGAGCUUCGCCAUGCCUGGAGGCUCGUUCCUGGGCUGUGAAAGUGACAGAGGCCCAGGCUGAGCUUAGAUGAGAAAAUAAAGGCCAAGGAAGUGGCCUCAAGAUCUGGCCCAGAGAAGAGCUGGUCCUGAAGACCCUGCAUCUGCGCCACACCAAUGCUCUGCCCACCCGCUCCCCUGGGGUCUCAGCAUGCCCAGCAUGUUCCCCACCCUGGGCCUGUGCCGUGAGCUCCCGUCAGAGGUUCCUAGCAAGCCCCUGCUGGCUGUGCCAGGACCCAGGAGCCUCGCGAGCUAAAUAGGAUGUCCUGCUGUUCUGGGCUUUGCCAGCUGCUGCACGAGUAGCCUUGCUUUGUGUCAUCCUGGGCAGGCGCUGCAUGUCCAGAGAGGAGACAGCAUGCCUGCUCUUUGCUGUGGGACUAGCGGUGUCGGGGUGGGGCAGGGGAAAGCAGAAACCAAACUCCUCCUUCCCGGUCUGCCUGCCCUAACCUCUCUCUAAGCCUCACGGACAUCCUGAUUGAGGGAAGUGAAAGUCACUCUGAUAUCUGGAAAUGCAGCUGAUGAAGCCAUUAAAUUCCAUGUCCCUUCUCCUUCCAGGGGUCCUCUAGGGUCCUGGGAGCCUGGCCAACAGGAAUCUGUUUUAUGAUCCUGGGUUUCUGCCAGCAGGAAGGCUGGGUGAGGCCGGUCCGUAUGUGCU
rnacentral:lncRNA from 1 species